CCAACGGUCGAGAAGAGACUGAUCCCUGUCUCUGGCGUCUGCUGAUUUCAAUUGAUGGACUGACGGAAAUAUUGUUGUGCGGAUUUAACGUUACACUUUAAACAGGAAAGAGCCUGAACCGCGACAGUGUCACAAGUUGCCUUACAUCGGAAUCAGUAAAGCCAACUCCGACUAUAGUUUUUCCAUGAAGCUUCAAACCCCCUCCAUGCAAAAAGAGCCAGCAUCAAUAUGGAGGGUGUCAACAUUUUGUGAGCGCAGAAAUGGAUGUGAUGGAGGCAAUGGAGUGCCUCUUUGCUGCUUAUUUCGUAUUAUACCCCAAGCACAUCACUCACACGAUGAAUUUUGUUGAGCACUACCUGUUUAAACUCUCCAGCAGCCAAAAAAAACUGUCUGUGCCAGUGCUCAAAAUGUAUCAUCAAUUAUCAUAAUACUUUGAUAUGUCAUGAAUAGUGCUAAUGUAAAUAUGAGGUGAUUGAUGUUAUUCUGAAAUGCUGAUCUGAAUUUUAAUCUAUGUAUUCACAU